UACGUAGGUGGCAAGCGUUGUCCGGAUUUACUGGGCGUAAAGAGCGCGCAGGCGGUCGUUCAAGUCGCGUGUGAAAGCCCCCGGCUCAACUGGGGAGGGUCACGCGAUACUGAUCGACUCGAAGGCAGGAGGGGGUAGCGGAAUUCCAGGUGUAGCGGUGAAAUGCGUAGAUAUCUGGAGGAACACCGGUGGCGAAGGCGGCAUUCUGGACUACAACUGACACUGAGGAACGAAAGCCAGGGGAGCAAACGGG
rnacentral:rRNA from 1 species